rnacentral:rRNA from 1 species
UACGGAGGGUGCAAGCGUUAUCCGGAUUCACUGGGUUUAAAGGGUGCGUAGGAGGGCAGGUAAGUCAGUGGUGAAAUCUCCGGGCUUAACUCGGAAACUGCCGUUGAUACUAUCUGUCUUGAAUACCGUGGAGGUGAGCGAAAUAUGUCAUGUAGCGGAUGAAAUGCUUAGAUAUGACAUAGAACACCAAUUGCGAAGGCAGCUCACUACACGAAUAUUGACUCUGAGGCACGAAAGCGUGGGGAUCAAACAGGA